rnacentral:tRNA from 1 species
GCGGACGUAGCUCAAAGAGCAGAGCACCCGAUGAGUAACCCAAUGGGUGAACAUAACAGAACCCUGAAAAGUUCUGGAACCUCGGGAGGUUGUCGGUUCGAGUCCGAUCGUCCGCU